rnacentral:tRNA from 1 species
GUUGUUUUGGCAGACUAGUGCAAUAGAUUUAGAAUCUUUAUAAGUAAUUAUAUUACAAAUAACA